rnacentral:rRNA from 1 species
CUACGGGGCGCAGCAGUAAGGAAUCUUCCGCAAUGGACGAAAGUCUGACGGAGCGACACCGCGUGCAGGAUGACACCCCUCGGGGCGUAAACUGCUUUUCUGAGUGACGACAUUCUGACAUUAACUCAGGAAUAAGCACCGGCUAAUUACGUGCCAGCAGCCGCGGUAAUACGUAAGGUGCGAGCGUUAUCCGGAAUCAUUGGGCGUAAAGCGUCCGCAGCCGGAUUUAUAAGUCUGAUGUUAAAUCUUGUGGCCCAACCAUAAGCUUGUAUCGGAAACUGUAAAUCUAGAGUAAUGUAGAGGUACGUGGAAUUUGUGGUGUAGGGGUAAAAUCCGUUGAUAUCACAAGGAACACCAAAAGCGAAGGCAGCGUACUGGACAUUUACUGACGGUCAAGGACGAAAGCGUGGGGAGCGAACAGGAUUAGAUACCCUCGUAGUC